UACAGAGGGGGCAAGCGUUGUUCGGAAUUACUGGGCGUAAAGGGCGCGUAGGCGGCCUGCUAAGUCGAACGUGAAAUCCCCGGGCUCAACCCGGGAACUGCGUCCGAUACUGACAGGCUCGAAUCCGGGAGAGGGAUGUGGAAUUCCAGGUGUAGCGGUGAAAUGCGUAGAUAUCUGGAGGAACACCGGUGGCGAAGGCGGCAUCCUGGACCGGUAUUGACGCUGAGGCGCGAAAGCUAGGGGAGCAAACGGG
rnacentral:rRNA from 1 species